CAUUACUGAGGGCGCGACACAAUAUUUGCUGUUUUGCGGUGGGGGAGUCUCAUCAUCUCCAACUGUUAAGGAACUGCCGUCGUCCACAGAACAGUGUGGGGCCAGUGGAUCAAUUUCCUGAUGCUCCCUUUUCAAAAUAUACACAGCGGUCUCGGCGGAGGUGACACCGUUCACAUGAGGGCAGAGGGAGAGAGGAGGUGAUGGAGAGGAGUUUAGUCCUGAAAGUCUCCACCUGGUGGGGUGGUUGAGGGCCAGCAAGAAGCCCCCGCAGCACACAAAGCUUGCCUUGUUUCAUUCUGGCCCAUCACAGCAGCCGCCUGCCAGGUCUCCUCUCGGCUCGCUCCCUGUAGACUCCUGGCUGCACAGAAACAGGAAACGGAUUCCUGCUCUCGAGUGUCACCUGUGUGGAAGUCAGUUCGAGCCCCCCUGCUGUUCAGGAAACACCACGCUCCGCUAGCCGCGCUACUACCUCCAGCCACGCCUCAAGCUUCGCUCCUCUCUGGAUCACAUUCACGGUGUCUCCAUCUUCCUGGAAGGAAGGAAUAAAAAUCCUUACUUACCUCUCACCUAACUGUGUCCUCAUUCUGGGUUCCAGCAUCUGGGUCUGCCGCUCCUCCGAAUCAUGACAAUUAUAUUUGAAGAUAUAGCAAUCGCUUGGAUCAAACUAAAUACAUUUUUCUUUUGUAAAUUUUGCCUAUGUUUGUUAUUUAAUUAAUUAAUUUAUUUAUUUAUUUACUU